rnacentral:tRNA from 1 species
AUUGAAUUGGCAGAUAAAGUGCUUUAAAUUUAGAAUUUAAAAAUGUAAUUUUUACAUUUAAUA